GUGUCAGCAGCCGCGGUAAUACAGAGGGUGCAAGCGUUAAUCGGAAUUACUGGGCGUAAAGCGAGCGUAGUCGGUUAUUUAAGUCGGGUGUGAAAGCCCCGGGCUCAACCUGGGAAUUGCAUUCGAUACUGGAUAGCUAGAGUUCGGCAGAGGGAAGCGGAAUUUCCGGUGUAGCGGUGAAAUGCGUAGAUAUCGGAAGGAACAUCAGUGGCGAAAGCGGCUUCCUGGACCAGAACUGACGAUCAGGCUCGAAAGCGUGGGGAGCAAACAGGAUUAGAAACCCCGGUAGUCC
rnacentral:rRNA from 1 species